rnacentral:rRNA from 1 species
CUGAUCCAGCAAUGCCGCGUGUGUGAGAAGGCCUUCGGGUUGUAAAGCACUUUUGUCCGGAAAGAAAUCCUUGGCUCUAAUACAGUCGGGGGAUGACGGUACCGGAAGAAUAAGCACCGGCUAACUACGUGCCAGCAGCCGCGGUAAUACGUAGGGUGCGAGCGUUAAUCGGAAUUACUGGGCGUAAAGCGUGCGCAGGCGGUUUGCUAAGACCGAUGUGAAAUCCCCGGGCUCAACCUGGGAACUGCAUUGGUGACUGGCAGGCUAGAGUAUGGCAGAGGGGGGUAGAAUUCCACGUGUAGCAGUGAAAUGCGUAGAGAUGUGGAGGAAUACCGAUGGCGAACGCAGCCCCCUGGGCCAAUACUGACGCUCAUGCACGAAAGCGUGUGGAUCAAACUGGAUUAUAGACCC